AUCAAGCACACCAUUUCAGUGGCCCAGAGGUCUUACGAAACUCUCAAAUCCCCAUACCUUUGCAUCUGGCUCCCCAGGAGAAUCAAAGCCAGAGCUCUUGAAAGUCGUGUUUUUCUUCCAGGUCGGCGAGCUUGUGGGAGGGAGCCUUUUCCCGCCUCGCGCACUAGCAUGCCGCCAUCUGGCCAUCAUCGCUAUGAAACGCGUUUUGAUAGUCGCAUACAAAGACGGGCCCUUGGAAGAGCUGCUCUGCGAGAUACCUGGAAUGAGAAGAUCACCAGAAAACGUUGAUUUUGGUUUCCCUCUAACACACCUUUGGUGCUUGCUCCAUUGCACAGGAGUUUCGAAGGGAAAGUCUUUCACGCAUAAGAUCACGCAAAGGAAAGAAUAAAUCUCGAUUGCUUGUGUGUAAGUUAUCCUUCCGAUUUGCAGGAAUGAGGAGCGGACGCCUUGUCAAGGAUGCGGUCGGUGAGCACAGAUCUCUGGGAGGAAAUCGUCUCCAGCGGCCUCGCUAAUCUCGUCAUGGAAAUGUAUGGAAAGUGCGGCUGCUGAUCGUGGCGUGAGCUUGCCGUAGACGUUGAGCAGCACUGUGGCGAUGGAGAUUCUGCGGUACUUGCUUGUGUGCCUCAGCUUUCAGCUUCCCAAGAUCCUGGGCGAAAGCUUGCAGGAGCUGGCUGGCAGAACCUCGUGGGAGACCAGUGGGGCAAAUGCGAGCUCAUUAUCUUAGGCCAGCGGCGACGAAUACCGCGUGGAUCUGAGGCGUUGAAUGAAGAAGCAUGAGUGCCACCGCUUCUCGCAUCGGGCAAAUGCCGCCGUCGCAAUGUUCCACGAGAAAACAUCUCAAUCUUCCAUCUUGUGGAAGGCUCCCAAGGCGUCUGCCGCUCUUCCAGGGGGUCCAAUUCAAGGACGCCGUCACCUGGAUGUCGGAGUUGGCACUCUGUCAAAGGGAUCAAAAGAGCAGUGAAAGGACACAAAGGCAGUGUAAAGAGAGAAAAGAGCGGCAAACCUGUUUGCGCGACAGGUGGAUUGACCAUAUACAUCAGAAAUACAAGAGUCCCAGCACCAAGCCGAGGGUAGGAGCAGGCAAGACAAGAAGGCCAAAGACGAGGCACUCUUGCGUUUGGAGGCCGAGAAACUAGCCAGGGAGAAAGCCGAAGCGGCGGCCAAGCAAAGAGUGGAAAGGAUACAGAGGAAGUCCGAGGCGGACUUGCGGGCUCACAGGGACGAGAUACACAAGCUGGAGCAGGAAGUUUGCAAGCUCAAGCUCAGUGCUAGGGAGCUAAGCUUGUCAAUGGAUCUGAGCGAGCAGGACGCGGUGGCGAUGGUGUGGGGCUGACUGACUGGUUUGGCUUUCUUUGUAUAAUAGGGGACUAUGGAGUUAGCUUUGCAAACGAGUGCUAUGGUUGCUUCCUCGACGUUCUGGGAAGAGCGGGGCGUUUGGAAAUCGCCGAGGAUAUGAUUUGCAACAUGCCGUUCGAGCCGAGUGCCUGCAAAACGCACAGCGACAUCGCUCGAGCACUGCGGGUGACAAACUACAUCAACCAUUUCGCUCCAGACAAGAAGACGCAGUCGUGCAUGCUUCUGGCCAACACGUACGCUGCCUGGUGGCUAUGGACCCGUGCCAUCGGCCUUGCUACUCGGGCAGGAGACGAGAGAGCGCUCGAAGAGUUUUUCGAGGAACUUGAGCAAGAACAAGAAGCUAUUGAGAUAUCGUGACGAGUUUCACGACUUUUUCGUUUCAAACUGCGAGAAUCGCUGCUGUGCUCCAGAUUCUCUCGACAGCGUCGUCGAUCCGGGAGAGAAAAUUCUAAGACUUGGGAGAGAGAACAGCUUUCUCUUCUCAAAAGUUUUGCGCUGCCUAUUGUUUAAAUCUAAUCACCUGGAAAACAAACUUAUUGUUUAUCGA